UAGUGUGAGUGUGGCAUCAGAACCUAACAUCGUUUUCACCACUACCGACAACCCGAGCAUUGGAGCCAAACAGUCGGUGAUUGUUUUGUGUCGGCGUCGAAAUCAGCAAAUUUUGGAAAGUGCAUCGAAAAGUGCAUCUGCGGAGGUCAACGAACUACCGAGUGUGAAGCCGUCGGUCAGCUGGUUUUAUUGUGUGCCGGUGGUGAACAAUAUUGAUUGGGUGCUGUUGGGUCGCAGAGCUGCUGCUGUUACGUGGAUAUUUUUUGAUCGAGUGCAACGAAGGAAAGCUUUUGUUUAUGGUGGAUGCUGCUGUGAGGAUUUUUUUUUGAGAAGUGCUUCGACGGAGAAAAAAUCGAGCGGAUUUUGUUGCUGUGUGCUGUUUUGGUGACGAUUUGGAUUUGGAUUUGGUGGAGUGCAUUUGAUCUUGGAUCAUCGAGUGCAUUGUUUAAACAGAAAUGAAGCUUAUGAUAAAUAAAGUACUGCUGCUUGCUGGUCACUGAUUGAAGAUCGUUCAGUGGCUACCAUUGGCCAAUCUCACCAACGGGAUAUAAUAAGAAUUGAUGCAGGUUUAUAUCUAUAUGUAUUGUCUAUUCGGAACAAAGUUAGUACGCUUUUUAAACCGAUGUUGGAUUUUUCUUCAGAUACAGGCAACCCACUUAACUUUGGAAGUAGUGCGCUGGAUUCGUCUAAAGAUAUGCUAAACAACCGGAGGAAAAUAAAAUAAUUUGUAAAACAAUUAAUUGUAUUGUAUUUUUAUUGUAAUAUUGGAGUAUAAUGUAUUCUAAAUCCUGUUGUAUUUCUAUUGUAAAACAAUAGGAACAGUAAUU